CCUACGGGACGCAGCAGUGGGGAAUAUUGCACAAUGGGGGAAACCCUGAUGCAGCGACGCCGCGUGAGUGAAGAAGUAAUUCGUUACGUAAAGCUCUAUCAGCAGGGAAGAAAAUGACGGUACCUGAGUAAGAAGCCCCGGCUAACUACGUGCCAGCAGCCGCGGUAAUACGUAGGGGGCAAGCGUUAUCCGGAUUUACUGGGCGUAAAGGGAGCGUAGACGGUGAGACAAGUCUGAAGUGGAAGCCCGGGGCUCAACCCCGGGACUGCUUUGGAAACUGCCUGACUGGAGUGCUGGAGAGGCAA
rnacentral:rRNA from 1 species